CCAGAAUGAGUUCUACUAUGUAUCACAAGAUGCAGAUGAUGCAGAUAAAGAUAGUUCAAAGAGAAAAAAUGAUGACAAGUGGUCCUACACCUAAGGUUCCUGCAGAGGGUUCAUCUGAUGUGGUGAUGGCCAUAAAUGCACAGACCCUAUCGGAGAUGGAGAUCCCUGAAAGCUAUAUUGAAUCCCUACCCAAGAAUGGUGCGUUAAUUAUGACCAGAAAGACAAGAGCCAAAAAAGUUUUUCUUCAAUGACUUGUAGAGGAGUGAUUCAUAUGUGAUUUGAUUACAGAAUGGUAAAUGUUUAUAUACAGCAGAGCUGUGUGUUGCCAAGCAGUGUUUAGUUUCUUCAAACUCCAUAUUUGUCUUCUGUUGUUCUAGCACCUGCCUUCUUCAAACUCUCAUGAAGGCUAGGCUAUGGAAGGACUACAAAUUUUUAAUGGUCUGGAGUGUGAGAUAGCUUGCAGUUCUUCGAAGGUGUCAUAUGUUUUAGAUACCGACAAUGUCUUAUAUCGAACGAGAAGUAAAAGAAAGGUAGCAAAGUCUUCGAAUAUUAGUCCAAGCAGAGCUCCACGGUUCCAUGUCACAUAAUAAUAUGUAAAUAGACGUAAUUAGUGAGGUAGAUGACAUAUUUUCAAUUCAUUUUUGUC